UUUAGGUGUUAUGGUCAGUUGAUGACACAAAGGGUGUUGUCACCGGAGAAUGAAUGGGUUCAGUGUGACAGGUAUAUUACACAAUAAUAUACUUUCCCGCUCAGUUUUUACAGCAGACUUGGAAGGAAGAGAGGUAGAAAUUCUAUCGCCACUUCACAGAUGAGGACAAUGAACUUGGAGGGGCUUUCCUAGGGAUCCACCACCGACACAGAGCCCAGGGGUACUGGAGCCUGGGAUGGAGGCCCCUGGCUGGGCAACGUCACCCUUGGCUGCUCUGGUGGCUCUGGGGCGUGACAAGGCUAUAAGCUUUUGGAGGGUUAAAAAAAAAAAAAAAAAUGCCCAAUGUGUCGCAAGUUCUGAAACCAGCUGCAAGGACAAGUUCUGUUGGCAGAGGCACCCAUCUGAGGAAUGCAGGAUGGAGUGGGAGAACCCCGGACAUUGAGACCAGAAGAGAAAUGAGGCUUUUAUGUUCCAGGGAAUAGCGACAGUAACAAGUCACCUAAGGUUCAGAAGCGCAUUUGUCCAGUGCAUCUGGGCAGCAAACCGUUCUCUAAUAAUCCUCAGCAUGCUGCCUUUUGAUCGGCUGUGUCUGUGUCUUUUGUCCUUGUCAUUAGACAUUCUCACUCAGCCCCCAGACCCUAAACCCCAGCUCUGGACCUGAGACACCAUGGGUGCCCCAGAGGUGGCUGUGGAUUGACGGGCUACAUAUGGGAACGGAGCAAGUCUUCUUGGUCCUCACCUGAUUCUAUUUUACAGAUAAGGAAACUGAGGUUCAGAGGGGUUAAAUGCUUUGACCAAAGUGAAAGGUAAUGAAGGGAAGACUGGAAAGUUGAAGCUGUUCCUCCAGGAAGUGUAAUGGAGAACAGCUAGAGCAUUCAGGUCGUACAGACGUGGCUUCAUCGUCCCAUUCUGCCCCCUCCCUGCUGUGUGAUUUUGUAUAGGUUGCUCAACCUCUCUGAGCCUCAGGCUGCUGUAUUGGUAAAACAGGUGCAAUAAUAGUACAUACCUUCUCACGUUGUUGUGAGGAUUCAUACAAUGUGUGCAAAGGGACCAGCACUGUUGGCGCCGCAGAGUGUUAACUACUGCUAUUGUUUCUAUUGUUCUUAUUCUCCUUUCAUUACUAUUAUUUUUAGUAUUUUGUAAAAAAAAAUACUACCGUAUUAGUUACAUUUAUCAUUGACUAUAUGCCUGGUAUACAACUGAACUGCAAUGAAUUAGUUUCUUUCUUUCCUGGGGAUUAGCCUAUAGUAUGAUAGGCUAUAGCUGUUACAACUGGUGACCCCAGGACUGAAUGUUUGCAGGGGGUUCAUGAAGCCCGACUCUGGCAUAUGUCCAGGGCUUGAAUAAAAGAGAAGAGAUUAGGGGUGAGGUGCUGGGAGUACAUUUGCUCUCGGCGGGUGGGCAGAAAAAAAUCCCCCACUUCUGAGCAAGUGCAGAACCACUUCAUGCAAACCCACUCACCCACACUUUCCCUGCCUGGCUUUUGCAUGAGGUGGCUGCAAGAGCUCUCACAGGGGCUUUCCAAGGAUUUCUCGAAGCUUCUUGCUUCUCCCAACACUCCUGCACCCCAGACCCUCUCUCAGCCACUCCCUACUGCCUGACAUAAAGCCUUUUGGUGCCUUCUGAGAUAUGUUUCCUCUACAGAGACAGCUCAAGGCAGUUCCUGUUGUGGCUCAGCAGCUUAGGAACCCGACUAGUAUCCACGAGGUUGCGGGUUUGAUCCCUGGCUUCGCUCAGUGGGUUAAGGAUCUGGUGUUGUCAUGAGCUGUGGUGGAGGUCACGAAUGUGGCUCAGAUCCCGUGUUUCUGUGGCUGUGGUGUAGGCUGGCAGCUGCAGUUCUGGUUCGACCCCUAGCCUGGGACCUUCCAUAUGCCAUGGAUGUGGCCCUGAAAAAAAAGACCAUCUCCUUAUAAUCUCAAAUGGAACCAGGAUAUCCCUCCAAAGUGGAGAAACCG
rnacentral:lncRNA from 9 species